GACAUUAGCCAGGCAGGCCGUCAUACUGUACCUCGACAGAGAACGCUACCAGGUCGUCUCUCAUCGUUUCAGAUCUAUCCAUUGGAAACCUUGCAAUAUGGAGUUCGUCGACAUGGACGGGAAUCUAAGAUCAGCAGAUAGUUUGAUUCCUGUUUGUUCCUUGACGGCGGCAAGGGAUCAUGUUGUUCGUCCGGCUCAAUCAAACUGUUCGUCGGGAUCUUCUAGGGUUUGCGAGAUCAUGGGAACAGAGGGAGGGACCAGCAUCAAAAUGGAGAUGCUUCACAACCUGCAGCUAAUGGGCAAGUGCAUGAAGGUAGAUCGGUCGACCACGGAGAAGAUGAGUCGGUUGUGGGUUUGCAGAGUGUAGAAGCUGGAUCCUGCGAGGCGCUUGUUCCUGAUGCUGGUAGAGAGGCAACUUCUAAGUGGAAACGAAGGGUUAGGUUAUCUGAUGGAGACACUGAGAGAGAAUGGAGCGCAGACCGAAAGAGCGCACUAGAAUUGACAAUCCAGGGGUUUGCAGAGAAGAAGGAAGGAGUUGUAAUAAACCCAACGAUUGGGUUAUCGCUCGAUUCUUUGAACGAGGCAUACGAAUUUUACAAUUUAUAUUCUUGGGAGGUUGGUUUCGGGAUACAUUUUGCUAGAAGUCGUCUGGAUGUGAAACGCCCG